GCUUGGGUACCCAAAAUGAAAAUAUGAAGGUAUAGAUGUAAGUGUGCCAAGAUACCCAUGGAACAAAUAGAACUUUCACACAAAUGGGUGUUCUAGACACACGUUACAGAAUGGAACUUAAAAUAUAAUCAAGAAAAGUAAUUAAAAUAGAAGAAAUAAAUUCAAAUUCCUCCAUCCUUCUAUGUUAUACUUUACUUAUUGAUGGAUACUUUGUUAAUGAUUAAUCAAUUUCCUUAAAAUAUCUUUUUGAGUUCUCUAUAUGCUUGAUUGAGAGUUUUUAUCCAUGGCAUUAUCUUUUAUUGAUCUUAGGCAUAAGAAUGUGUACUUGGUAUAUUUUUAUAUAUAUGCAUUAUAAAUACCAAGACAAAAGAAAUCACUUUUGAUAUACAAAAUCAACUCGUACUAGUAUAUACUUAAUCUCAAAAGACCUUGUCAUUGGCUUAUUUAGAUUAUCUUCUGCAAGGUCAAAGUUUGCUAUGCAUGUUAACUAAGGAAACAAACAAGAAUCAAUUUCUAAAUCUAAAGAUGUUUCCAUCACUAAGUUUUCAAAAGCUUACAUUGGAUUUGUUCUUGGCAAAUAAAAUUGAAGUAUUUUCUGUAUUUACUAAAUCUUGUAAAAGUGUUUCAAAUGAAAAAGAUUUCCAAACUGUGAAGAUAAAGAGUAUCAUAGCACAGUGUUGAAAACCAAAAUUCUGAUAAGGUUUGCACAGAAAAUAAUAUUGAAUACAAUUGUUUCUGCACCAAGGACACCAUAAGUAAAAUAGGGUUAAUAGAAUCCUUGAGGAAAUGAAAAAGACAAUGUUGUAUGAUAGUCAUUUUUUUAAAAAAAAGCUAUCAUCACUGCUUGUCAUACAUAUGGUUUCUAUUAGAUCUAUUUUUGAUGAAAACUCCUUUUGAUCUUCUGAAAAAUAG
rnacentral:lncRNA from 1 species